rnacentral:misc_RNA from 1 species
AGAGAGUGAAUUAAAAACCCCCACAACUACUUGUGAUCAUGUGGUAUUGCUGAGAAAGAAAGACCAGCAGAUUGAAAAGCUAGAGAAAGAAGUGAGGGAACUAACUAAGCAACGUGAUCUUGCUCAAUCGCGGGUUAAGGAUUUGCUGCUGACGCUUAAAAGUGAUAAAACCUCCAGCCAAAAGGACAUAUCAAGGCUACAUUCAGAAGGGAACACAUAUGAAGAUGAAUGUUCUGUG